UGCUUAAUUAAUAUCCCUGCAGCUAUUUAAUUGGGCUAAACCUUCUCCCUCAAUUAAACCAUGCAGCUUCUUUGCACGCCAUCCAACCUCUCCUUCACGCCAUCUAAUCAGAUGAAACUUCAAACCCUAGAGUUUUGAAAUUCAAAUCACGCUUCCACGCUUCUUUCUCUGCUAUUGCAUAAUCCGAAGAAGAAUGAGUUGCAGAACCCUUUCCUUUCAAUCUUUCUUCAUCAAUCGAUUCUUUUGUGAAGAUGUGGAAGACGAUUCCGACGAUUUAGGUAUGUCUCAGUAUUCUUCUCAGAGCACACACUCUUAUUACCGUGACAGUUAUCGGCGGUUUGCAUCAUCACGCUCACAAGUAUUCGAUAUCAUCUAAUCUUAGAACAUCAUCGAUCCACACAGUUUUCGAUAAUCUGCAGCUCAUAUUCAUCGUUCUCAGAGGUACUUGGGGAUGCUCAACAUGUAGAAGAGGCUUAAAAGAUCGGUUGUGAAUACAUGGAUGUUGAAGGACUUAAGAAACUCAACAAGAACAAAAAGAUGGUGGUUUUUUUGGCUUCUGAAUCUGUUAUCAAGCAGAUUCCCUGUUUGUUGGGCCCUGGUCUAAACAAGGCUGGUUAGAUGUGAUGGUGAAACUCUUAGCCAAGUUGUAUCGUCUCAGAUGGGCUGGGAACCCAAGUCAACUAUGAAGGGAUCAUGUAUUACAAUAAUCUUAUAAACUACCUUCUAGAAAAGGGAAUUGAGCUGUGUGCCCGUGUGUAAGGUUAUACCAUUGGGAUCUUCUAUUGUAUCUUAAUGACUCGAUGGGAGGGUGGUUGAGUGACUCAAUAGUAAAGUAUUUCGCGAUCUAUGCAGAAACUUGCUUUGCAAGUUUUGGUGAUAGAGUGAAGAAGUGGAUUACAAUCAAUGAACCCCUUGAGACAGCAGUAAACAGAUAUUCUACUGGUUUAUUUGCAACCGGAAGAAGUGACAGUCACUCAGCCGAACCAUAUUUGGUUGCCCACCACCAGCUUUUGGCCCAUGCAGAAGCUGUUUCAAUAUAUAGAACAAAACUUAAGGUGAAUACUAAAUUGUUUUACAAAAUCAGUUAGUAAUACAAUUAUUUAUAGAACUAAAAAAAGGAUCUGCAAGGUGGAGAAGUAGGAUUGGUUGUUGAUUGUGAAUGGGCAUAGGCCUUAACAGAUAAAGAAGAAGAUAUAGCUGCAGCAGCAAGGCAUGUUGACUUUCAGCUUGGAUGGUUCUUGGAUCCAAUAUUUUUUGGAGAGUAUACUAAAUCUAUGCCGGAGAGAGUUGGGGACAAGCUUCCAAUAUUUUCCCAAAAAGAUAAAGAAUUACUAAGAAAUUCAUUGGAUUUUGUUGGCUUGAAUCACUCUACAUCAAGAUUUGUGUCACAUAGUCCAAACAAAUAUAAAAGUGAUUAUUAUAGUGCACAAGAGGGAACAAGAAUAGAUUAAUGGCAGGUUUGAUUAGUGUCUUCCAUUGGCUGAAGUGUUGACACUUGAUCAAAGGGAAUUUGAUGUUCCAGUAGUAGACAUGGUGGUAAUGCAGUAGCGUGAAUGAGGUUCUUCCACCAGCGUUGGAUUCCACUUCUCAGCCACCACCCCUAUUUGACAGAACCAGUAGGUAUUCGUCAUGUGAUCAAUCAGUCUAAUUUAGCUUAAUUUCACUUUUAGUAAGUAUUUUUGGUUCAGUAAACGCAGUGAUGAUAUAUGAAUUCAUAUUUUUUAUUUACAUUGUAUUAAAUGAAGGUUAUGCAUGAACUACCUGUGCUUAUAUGCACAACGUGUUUGAUCACCAAUAAUUAUAAGGAAGAGCCUUAGUGGUAUAUUGAUUGCA